rnacentral:rRNA from 1 species
ACGAGGAGGAGCUUGCUCCUCCGAGUUAGUGGCGGACGGGCGAGUAACGCGUGAGGAACCUGCCCUUGAGUGGGGAAUAACGACCGGAAACGGGCGCUAAUACCGCAUAACAUAUUGGGAUGGCAUCGUCCCGAUAUCAAAGGAGCAAUCCGCUGAAAGAUGGCCUCGCGUCUGAUUAGCUAGUUGGUGAGGUAACGGCCCACCAAGGCGACGAUCAGUAGCCGGACUGAGAGGUUGAACGGCCACAUUUGGACUGAGACACGGCCCAGACUCC